rnacentral:rRNA from 1 species
GUAGGAGGCGAGCGUUAUCCGGAUUUACUGGGCGUAAAGAGGGCGUAGGCGGUUUUUCAAGUCGAUUGUAAAAUCUCCCGGCUUAACUGGGAGGGGACAGUCGAUACUGUUGGACUAGAGGACAGCAGGAGGAGGUGGAAUUCCCGGUGGAGUGGUGAAAUGUGUAGAUAUCGGGAGGAACACCAGUGGCGAAAGCGGCCUCCUAGGCUGUUUCUGACGCUGAGGUCCGAAAGCGUGGGUAGCAAACAGGAUCAGAUACCCUGGUAGUCCACGCCGUAAACGAUGGACACUAGGUAUAGGGAGUAUCGACCCUCUCUGUGCCGAAGCUAACGCAUUAAGUGUCCCGCCUGGGGAGUACGGCCGCAAGGCUAAAACUCAAAGGAAUUGACGGGGGCCCGCACAAGCAGCGGAGCGUGUGGUUUAAUUCGAUGCAACGCGAAGAACCUUACCAAGGCUUGACAUGGCGGGAGUAGCGACCUGAAAGGGAAGCCACCUGUUGAGUCAGGAACCGUCACAGGUGCUGCAUGGCUGUCGUCAGCUCGUGCUGUGAGGUGUUAGGUUAAGUCCUGUAACGAGCGCAACCCCUGUUGCUAGUUGUUUUCUCUAGCGAGACUGCCCUGUAAAAUGGGGAGGAAGGUGGGGAUGACGUCAAGUCAGCACGGCCCUUAUGCCUUGGGCUACACACACACUACAAUGGGUGGUACAAUGGGUAGCAAUAGAGCAAUCUGGAGCCAAUCCUGUAAAGCCAUCCUCAGUUCGGAUUGCAGGCUGAAACCCGCCUGCAUGAAGUUGGAGUUGCUAGUAACCGCAGGUCAGCAUACUGCGGUGAAUACGUUCUCGGGCCUU